AGCAGCCGCGGUAAUUCCAGCUCCAAUAGCGUAUAUUAAAGUUGUUGCAGUUAAAAAGCUCGUAGUUGAAUUUCGGGGUUCUACCGUUGGUCAGGCUAUUGUCUGUACUGGCGUGUAGAAUUUCUACCUUCUGGGGAACUAUCAUGUUAUUAAUUUAGCGUGGUAGGAAACCAGGACCUUUACCUUGAAAAAAUUAGAGUGUUCAAAGCAGGCUUAUGUCUGAAUACAUUAGCAUGGAAUAAUAAAAUAGGACGGUGGUCCUGUUUUGUUGGUUUCUGAAUCACCGUAAUGAUUAAUAGGGAUAGUUGGGGGCAUUAGUAUUCAAUUGUCAGAGGUGAAAUUCUUGGAUUUAUUGAAGACUAACUACUGCGAAAGCAUUUGCCAAGGAUGUUUUCAUUAAUCAAGAACGAAAGUUAGGGGAUCGAAGACGAUCAGAUACCGUCGUAGUCUUAACCAUAAACUAUGCCGACUAGGGAUCGGACGAUGUUAACUUUUCUUGACUCGUUCGGCGCCUUACGGGAAACCAAAGUGUUUAGGGUUCGU
rnacentral:rRNA from 1 species